GCCACCAUCGUCUAGAGGCCUAGGACGCCGCCCUUUCAAGGCGGUGGCGCGGGUUCGAAUCCCGCUGGUGGUACCA
rnacentral:tRNA from 1 species